UAAGUCAGAAUCUGUACUAGAAACGAUGAUGUUGGUCCCGCACGUGUUAGUUGUGUCAUAAUAGGCUUCGGCUGUGUACCAUAUCUGGGCUGGGUGGCUCGGGCGGAAAGGCUCGGGUCGCUUGCUCUUCAUUGUAAUCAAAUAUGCGCGGGGGUGAAUCCUUUGCAGACGACUUGAAUUGAACCGGGUGCUGUAAGUAGUAGAGUAGCCUUGUUGCUACGAUCUACUGAGGCUAAGCCCGUGUUCUACAGAUUUGUGUCUUCGGACCUCUAAGUGAUUCCAUGGACCGGGGGACUUUCUCCUGGACUUGGGUGCUGAGGGGUAGGUGUGGGCCUGGGAUGGUGUCGUACCAUGUUGUCGACGUUUGGGGUGGUGUCGGACCACGUCGAUCGCAAACACGAACAAGUGAUGGUCGGGCACAUACAGGUGGGUGGCGCGGUGACGAAUCUGCCGGUCUGVGAUCCGAUUGGACCGGGGGACUUGCACGUGAGAUGACUUGGGUUAUUAUUGGCCACGGACAAGCACCGUAUCUCCAUGGACCGGGGGAGUUAUGUUGCGUAUGGACUCGUCAUCCAGCCGGCUGUACCCAUGGACCGGGGGAGUUGCUUACAGCAGGGACUGGGUCGUUCACACGUGACAGCGGGCCAUAGACCGGGGGACUUGUGCGAUCCAGGAUGCUUGUUCCGCGCCCCGGUAUAUAUAGCCAUGAUCAGCUGUACACCCAUCCACGGGCA
rnacentral:rRNA from 1 species